UUGAUUUCAAGCAUAUGUAAUUUAUUUGCACCUAAAUUGAUGAAGAAAUUGACUAAAAAUUACCUCCACGAUAAGUUCGCUAUCAUACUAUCGAGGUGAGAUUUGAUCAUUAUUUUUAGCUUUUUGUUGCUGAUUUUGUUCUAAUUCUACUCAAAAUUUGUUUGGGGAACAAAGCCCAGUCAUUUGCAAGCUCUAAUGGAAUGAUCUGAUGGGAUUUGAAGCAAGGUUUUUUU
rnacentral:lncRNA from 1 species